CACGUAGGGGGCAAGCGUUGUCCGGAUUUAUUGGGCGUAAAGAGCUCGUAGGUGGUUCGGUAAGUCGGGUGUUAAACCCCCAGGCUCAACCUGGGGACGCCACUCGAUACUGCUGUGACUAGAGUCCGGUAGGGGAGCGUGGAAUUCCUGGUGUAGCGGUGAAAUGCGCAGAUAUCAGGAUGAACACCAGCGGCGAAGGCGGCGCUCUGGGCCGGUACUGACACUGAGGAGCGAAAGCGUGGGGAGCAAACAGG
rnacentral:rRNA from 1 species